GGUUAAGUCCCGCAACGAGCGCAACCCCUGUCGUUAGUUACUAACAUUUAGUUGAGCACUCUAACGAGACUGCCGUAGAUAAUACGGAGGAAGGUGGGGAUGAUGUCAAAUCAUCAUGCCUCUUACGCCUUGGGCCACACCCGUGCUACAAUGCCCACCACAAAGAGACGCAAUACCGUAAGGUGGAGCAAACCUCAAAAAAGUGGGCCCAGUUCAGACUGAGGGCUGCAACCCGCCCUCACGAAGACGGAGUUGCUAGUAAUCCCGAAUCAGCAUGUCGGGGUGAAUGCGUUCCCGGGUCUUGUACACACUGCCCGUCACGCCAUGGGAGCCGGGGGUACCCGAAGUCAGUGGGCUAACCCGCAAGGGAGGCAGCUGCCGAAGGUAAAACUGGUGACUGGGGUGAAGUCGUAACAAGGUAGCCGUAUCGGAAGGUGCGGCUGGAUCACCUCCUUU
rnacentral:rRNA from 1 species